AACGAACGCUGGCGGCAGGCUUAACACAUGCAAGUCGAACGAUGUAGCAAUACAUAGUGGCGCACGGGUGAGUAACGCGUGGGAAUAUACCUUGUAGUGGGGAAUAACGUUGGGAAACUAACGCUAAUACCGCAUACGCCCGAGAGGGGAAAGAUUUAUCGCUAUAAGAUUAGCCCGCGUGAGAUUAGGUAGUUGGUGGGGUAAUGGCCUACCAAGCCUACGAUCUCUAGCUGGUCUGAGAGGAUGAUCAGCCACACUGGAACUGAGACACGGUCCAGACUCCUACGGGAGGCAGCAGUGGGGAAUAUUGGGCAAUGGAGGAAACUCUGACCCAGCCAUGCCGCGUGAAUGAUGAAGGCCUUAGGGUUGUAAAGUUCUUUCGCCGAUGAAGAUAAUGACGGUAGUCGGAGAAGAAGCCCAGGCUAACUUCGUGCCAGCCGCCGCGGUAA
rnacentral:rRNA from 1 species